AACGAACGCUGGCGGCAGGCUUAAUACAUGCAAGUCGAGCGGGCACUUCGGUGUCAGCGGCGCACGGGUGCGUAACGCGUGGGAACAUGCCUUUAGGUACGGAACAACCAAGGGCAACUUUGGCUAAUACCGUAUAAUAUCUCUGGAUCAAAGAUUUAUCGCCUAAAGAUUGGCCCGCGUUAGAUUAGGUAGUUGGUGGGGUAAUGGCCUACCAAGCCUACGAUCGAUAGGGGGUCUGAGAGUAUGGUCCCCCACACUUGAAGUGUGAGACGGUCCAGACUCUUAGGGAAGGCAGCAGUAAGGAAUAUUGGACGAUGGGCGAAAGCAUGAUCCAGCCAUGCCGCGUGAGUGAUGAAGGCCUUAGGGAUGUAAAGCUCUGUUAGAUGUGAAGAUAAUGACGGUACCAUCAGAAUAAGCCCCGGCUAAAUUCGUG
rnacentral:rRNA from 1 species